CGAUAAUUCCCCCAAUCACUUUUAACCUUAAAAACCCUAAACACCACCUUCAGAAGAUCUUUUUUAUUUUGGCGGUCUCUUCGCGUUCACCUUCACCAAAAGAACGCUAGCCAAAGCACCGGAGCUCUCCCACCUGCGUGCGAUUUUGUAAUGGAAGACACAAGUUUGAGCAAGGGCGAAAGCGAGGGCGAAAGCGAAGACGACGACGAAGAUGGGGAAAAUUCAAGAUUUUACAACAUCAGAUCAGUGAUUCACCAAAAAAUUCUCCAAUCAGAGCCAGACAAAGGUCUAGCCAGAAGAUCUUUAGGAUAGCCAUCCCGAUUCAACAGCUUUAUCGCCGAUUCAAUGACUGGCAAUGGCUCGAUGAAUGCAAAGGAUGGCAUAUCAAUAUUAAGUGACAAUCCCACCUGUGUUGCAUGAGGACCUCAGUAGAAGCUACUGCGCCAGCUUUCCAAACCCUCACCUAGUGGUUGCAAUGUUGCAUAUUCUCUAGAUCAGGAGAAUAGAAAGAUCUACCCACAGGACAGUACUCGUGCUCGGCAUUCACGCAGAACAAUAUCAAGAACUUGAAGGGCUUCCUGAGGUGCAUCUGCUUGUCUUCUUUGCAGAAAGAGCUCUAAAUGGCGUGUAGAUCAGCACAGGCUGCCAAUAUCCCUUUCUCCUUUACUUAAGGGAUCAGAAUAAUCAGAUCAGUAAUCUACCAAAAACGAUGUUGUACCCUGAAAGCUAGAAUUUAAUACGCGAGUUUUGCAACUGAUAAGGAGGCCGUAAUCAAUGUUCACAUCUUCAGUUGAUCUCAUUCUGGUACCUCUUGGAGCAUACAGUUCUUUAGACGCGCAAGACUGAGAAAUGAACUCCUUACUCAAUUUCUGGAAGCUGGUAUAUGAACAAGAGGAGCGUACAGUUCUUUAGAUGCGGAAGACUGAGAAAUGAACUCUUUACAACAUUGAUGGAAAACUGUGAUGUGCCUGCACUAGUGAUAUGAAUAGAACAUGUAUUGCCCAGGCGCAUGACUAGGGUUAAUAUGGAUUCUGAAUAUUCAUCAUUUGGGAAGGUGAGUCAGAAUUACACUAUUUUGACGCUUCAAAGGUCAAAAGGAAUCAACCAGGCAAUAACAUAUUUGCAGUUUCCAUCUGCUAGGUGAACAUUA